rnacentral:rRNA from 1 species
UACGGAGGGUGCGAGCGUUGUCCGGAAUUACUGGGCGUAAAGCGUGCGCAGGCGGUGAUGUAAGACAGGUGUGAAAUCCCCGGGCUUAACCUGGGAACUGCAUUUGUGACUGCAUCGCUGGAGUGCGGCAGAGGGGGAUGGAAUUCCGCGUGUAGCAGUGAAAUGCGUAGAUAUGCGGAGGAACACCGAUGGCGAAGGCAAUCCCCUGGGCCUGCACUGACGCUCAUGCACGAAAGCGUGGGGAGCAAACAGG